UACGGGGGGGGCAAGCGUUGUUCGGAAUUACUGGGCGUAAAGGGCUCGUAGGUGGCCAACUAAGUCAGACGUGAAAUCCCUCAGCUUAACUGGGGAACUGCGUCUGAUACUGGAUGGCUUGAGUUUGGGAGAGGGAUGCGGAAUUCCGCGUGUAGCAGUGAAAUGCGUAGAUAUGCGGAGGAACACCGAUGGCGAAGGCAAUCCCCUGGACCUGUACUGACGCUCAUGCACGAAAGCGUGGGGAGCAAACAGG
rnacentral:rRNA from 1 species